rnacentral:rRNA from 1 species
UACAGAGGGUGCAAACGUUGCUCGGAGUUACUGGGCGUAAAGCGCGUGCAGGCGGCCCGCCGUGUCGAUCGUGAAAGCCCACGGCUCAACCGUGGAAGUGCGAUCGAAACUGGCAGGCUUGAGUCCCGGAGAGGGUGGCGGAAUUCCCAGUGUAGAGGUGAAAUUCGUAGAUAUUGGGAGGAACACCGGUGGCGAAGGCGGCCACCUGGACGGGAACUGACGCUCAGACGCGAAAGCGUGGGGAGCAAACAGG